UGAACGCUGGCGGCAUGCCUUACACAUGCAAGUCGAACGGCAGCAUGAUCUAGCUUGCUAGAUUGAUGGCGAGUGGCGAACGGGUGAGUAAUACAUCGGAACGUGCCCUGUAGUGGGGGAUAACUAGUCGAAAGAUUAGCUAAUACCGCAUACGACCUGAGGGUGAAAGUGGGGGACCGCAAGGCCUCAUGCUAUAGGAGCGGCCGAUGUCUGAUUAGCUAGUUGGUGAGGUAAAGGCUCACCAAGGCGACGAUCAGUAGCUGGUCUGAGAGGACGAUCAGCCACACUGGGACUGAGACACGGCCCAGACUCCUACGGGAGGCAGCAGUGGGGAAUUUUGGACAAUGGGGGCAACCCUGAUCCAGCAAUGCCGCGUGUGUGAAGAAGGCCUUCGGGUUGUAAAGCACUUUUGUCCGGAAAGAAAUCGCACUUACUAAUAUUAGGUGUGGAUGACGGUACCGGAAGAAUAAGGACCGGCUAACUACGUGCCAGCAGCCGCGGUAAUACGUAGGGUCCAAGCGUUAAUCGGAAUUACUGGGCGUAAAGCGUGCGCAGGCGGUUGUGCAAGACCGAUGUGAAAUCCCCGGGCUUAACCUGGGAAUUGCAUUGGUGACUGCACGGCUAGAGUGUGUCAGAGGGGGGUAGAAUUCCACGUGUAGCAGUGAAAUGCGUAGAGAUGUGGAGGAAUACCGAUGGCGAAGGCAGCCCCCUGGGAUAACACUGACGCUCAUGCACGAAAGCGUGGGGGAGCAAACAGGAUUAGAUACCCUGGUAGUCCACGCCCUAAACGAUGUCAACUAGUUGUUGGGGAUUCAUUUCCUUAGUAACGUAGCUAACGCGUGAAGUUGACCGCCUGGGGAGUACGGUCGCAAGAUUAAAACUCAAAGGAAUUGACGGGGACCCGCACAAGCGGUGGAUGAUGUGGAUUAAUUCGAUGCAACGCGAAAAACCUUACCUACCCUUGACAUGCCACUAACGAAGCAGAGAUGCAUUAGGUGCUCGAAAGAGAAAGUGGACACAGGUGCUGCAUGGCUGUCGUCAGCUCGUGUCGUGAGAUGUUGGGUUAAGUCCCGCAACGAGCGCAACCCUUGUCUCUAGUUGCUACGAAAGGGCACUCUAGAGAGACUGCCGGUGACAAACCGGAGGAAGGUGGGGAUGACGUCAAGUCCUCAUGGCCCUUAUGGGUAGGGCUUCACACGUCAUACAAUGGUGCAUACAGAGGGUUGCCAAGCCGCGAGGUGGAGCUAAUCCCAGAAAAUGCAUCGUAGUCCGGAUCGUAGUCUGCAACUCGACUACGUGAAGCUGGAAUCGCUAGUAAUCGCGGAUCAGCAUGCCGCGGUGAAUACGUUCCCGGGUCUUGUACACACCGCC
rnacentral:rRNA from 1 species